CAUCUCUCCGCUGGCAGCAGCACCCUAUCCGGCGGUAUAUCGUUGUGGUCAGCACCCGCUGGGGUAUGCCUUCAAUCUCCACUCGAUCCAAAUACGCUAUUGUCCCAUGGUUCCCAGAGUUUUUGGAAUGUUACGGCGGUCCCUCUCACCCUUGCUGUCAAAUCAUCCAUAAUUCUACAUUCUUUAAUUCUGGAGAUAACCCCUGCGAAAUCCGGGCCCUCUG